rnacentral:rRNA from 1 species
AUUGAACGCUGGCGGCAUGCCUUACACAUGCAAGUCGAACGGUAACAGGUCUUCGGAUGCUGACGAGUGGCGAACGGGUGAGUAAUACAUCGGAACGUGCCCGAUCGUGGGGGAUAACUACUCGAAAGAGUGGCUAAUACCGCAUACGAUCUACGGAUGAAAGCAGGGGACCCGCAAGGGCCUUGCGCGGACGGAGCGGCCGAUGGCAGAUUAGGUAGUUGGUGGGAUAAAAGCUUACCAAGCCGACGAUCUGUAGCUGGUCUGAGAGGACGACCAGCCACACUGGGACUGAGACACGGCCCAGACUCCUACGGGAGGCAGCAGUGGGGAAUUUUGGACAAUGGGGGAAACCCUGAUCCAGCAAUGCCGCGUGCAGGAUGAAGGCCCUCGGGUUGUAAACUGCUUUUGUACGGAACGAAAAGCCCUCUUCUAAUACAGGGGGGUCAUGACGGUACCGUAAGAAUAAGCACCGGCUAACUACGUG